rnacentral:rRNA from 1 species
UCGUAACAAGGUUUCCGUAGGUGAACCUGCGGAAGGAUCAUUGU